rnacentral:rRNA from 1 species
UACGGAGGGUGCGAGCGUUGUCCGGAAUCACUGGGCGUAAAGGGCGCGUAGGCGGCGCGGGCAGUCAACGGUGAAAGCUUGGGGCUCAACCCCGAGUCGGCCGUCGAUACUCCCGGGCUUGAGCACUGUAGAGGCAGGUGGAAUUCCCGGUGUAGCGGUGGAAUGCGUAGAGAUCGGGAAGAACAUCAGUGGCGAAGGCGGCCUGCUGGGCUGUUGCUGACGCUGAGGCGCGACAGCGUGGGGAGCAAACAGG